rnacentral:misc_RNA from 1 species
AAGUCGUAACAAGGUCUCCGUAGGUGAACCUGCGGAGGGAUCAUUAACAUCCAACUAUGCAUAUAUAUGUAGUAGGUACUCAUUCGUGGGUACUCAACCAUAUAUAUGUAUAUACACACACUCGUGAACUCUAUACAAUUUUAUACUCUGUGAACUAUAUAUAUUCUCUAUAUACUAUAUAACAAUCUCAAUCACUCCACGCAAUGGAUAUCUUGGUUCUCGUGUCGA